rnacentral:tRNA from 1 species
GCUGAUAUGGCUCAGUUGGUAGAGCGCACCCUUGGUAAGGGUGAGGUCCCCAGUUCGACUCUGGGUGUCAGCACCA